CCAAUAGCGUAUAUUAAAGUUGUUGCAGUUAAAAAGCUCGUAGUUGAAUUUCGGGAUCAAUUAAUUGGUCGUGCCUAUGGUACGUACUGAUUUUAUUGGUUUCUCCCUUCUGAAGAACCAUCAUGUCAUUAAUUUGGUGUGGUGGAGAAUCAGGACUGUUACUUUGAAAAAAUUAGAGUGUUUAAAGCAAGCUAACGCUUGAAUACAUUAGCAUGGAAUA
rnacentral:rRNA from 1 species